AAAGGGAGACCUAAUUCCGGUAGGAGACGAAAAAAAAGUAGUCCCUACCAAGAAUCAAUCCCAAAAGGUCGGAACGAGGUAUGAGGCUUUCAAACUAGGUUCUGGGUUCAUAAAAGACCUGAAUCAGGAACAAGGGCUAUUAGCUCAGGUGGUUAGAGCGCACCCCUGAUAAGGGUGAGGUCCCUGGUUCGAGUCCAGGAUGGCCCACCUGCACAGGUGGCAAAAACAAGAGAAGCUCCGAAUCAGCACCUUAUCUUACUGACAUAGUAAGAGAGAAUGCUGGCUCUGAGUAAAGAGUCCAGAGGAACCUUGAAAACUGCAUAGAGCUAGGUGAAAAAGCCAAAAAAGAAGACCGCAAG
rnacentral:tRNA from 1 species